UGGGGAAUAUUGCACAAUGGGGGAAACCCUGAUGCAGCGACGCCGCGUGAGCGAAGAAGGUUUUCGAAUCGUAAAGCUCUGUCCUAUGAGAAGAUAAUGACGGUAUCAUCGGAGGAAGCCCCGGCUAAAUACGUGCCAGCAGCCGCGGUAAUACGUAUGGGGCGAGCGUUGUCCGGAAUUAUUGGGCGUAAAGGGUACGUAGGCGGUUUUUUAAGUCAGGUGUCAAAGCGUGGAGCUUAACUCCAUUAAGCACUUGAAACUGAAAGACUUGAGUGAAGGAGAGGAAAGUGGAAUUCCUAGUGUAGCGGUGAAAUGCGUAGAUAUUAGGAGGAAUACCGGUGGCGAAGGCGACUUUCUGGACUUUUACUGACGCUCAGGUACGAAAGCGUGGGGAGCAAACAGG
rnacentral:rRNA from 1 species